AGUGAACGCUGGCGGUAGGCCUAACACAUGCAAGUCGAACGGCAGCACCGUAAGAGCUUGCUCUUACGGGUGGCGAGUGGCGGACGGGUGAGGAAUACAUCGGAAUCUACUUUUUCGGGGGGGCUAACGUAGGGAAACUUACGCUAAUACCGCAUACGACCUACUGGUGAAAGCAGGGGAUCUUCGAACCUUGCGCGAUUGAAUGAGCCGAUCUCGGCUGCGCUAGUUGGCUGGGUAAAGGCCCACCAAGGCGACGCUCCGUAGCUGGUCCGACAGGAUGAUUCGCUACACGGGAACUGAGACACGGCCCAGACACCUGCGGGGGGAAGCAGUGGGGAAUAUUGCGCAAUGGGCGAAAGGCUGAUCCAGCAAUACCGCGUGAGGGAAGAAGGCCUUCGGGUUGUAAAGUGCUGUUGUUGGGAAAGAAAAAAAGCUGGUUUAUACCCGGCUGUACUGACGGUACCCAAAGAAUAAGCACCGGCUAACUUCGUG
rnacentral:rRNA from 1 species